rnacentral:rRNA from 1 species
UACGGGGGGGGCAAGCGUUGUUCGGAAUUACUGGGCGUAAAGGGCUCGUAGGUGGCCAACUAAGUCGGACGUGAAAUCCCUCAGCUUAACUGGGGAACUGCGUCCGAUACUGGAUGGCUCGAGUUUGGGAGAGGGAUGCGGAAUUCCAGGUGUAGCGGUGAAAUGCGUAGAUAUCUGGAGGAACACCGGUGGCGAAGGCGGCAUCCUGAACCAACACUGACACUGAGGAGCGAAAGCCAGGGGAGCAAACGGG